rnacentral:rRNA from 1 species
UACGUAGGGUCCGAGCGUUGUCCGGAUUUAUUGGGCGUAAAGAGCUCGUAGGCGGCUUGCUAAGUCAGGUGUGAAACCUCCAGGGCUCAACCCUGGACCUGCACCCGAUACGGGCGGACUAGAGUUCGGUAGGGGAGACUGGAAUUCCUGGUGUAGCGGUGAAAUGCGCAGAUAUCAGGAGGAACACCGGUGGCGAAGGCGGGUCUCUGGGCCGAUACUGACGCUGAGGAGCGAAAGCGUGGGGAGCGAACAGG